AGUGUUCCUAGGUUUGGAAGUAUAAAUCCCAUGGGAAGUCAACUGAAGAAUAUUUUAUGCUUCACGUAUCCUAUUAUGAACUUUGUACUGUCCCAUCUUUCCACAAGG
ensembl:misc_RNA